UUCACACUAAUGCCGGUAGAUGGCAGACUAUUACACUUGCACGACGAUAUUGAGUGACGUCCAUGUGUUAUUGUGUUUACAGAUAGGUAAAUACGCAGGGAAACAUCAUUGCUUCAGCGUGUAAUAAUCAGUUCUGGCGUGUUUCGAGCAGUGCUGUUGGGAGCAGAGGAAGCAAGCUCCAACCAUAUACUGUGUAAGAUAGCUGGAGGUGGAAGGAUUAAACUUCAUGUCCUCCUCAAACAAGAGAUGUGUAACCUGUUUUUUGUGCUUUAUACUGAUAGCUGAUCAAAUAAAAUAGUUAUGCAGGGAAAAAAUA
rnacentral:misc_RNA from 1 species